rnacentral:rRNA from 1 species
UACGGAGGGGGCUAGCGUUGUUCGGAGUUACUGGGCGUAAAGCGCGCGCAGGCGGCUCGUCAAGCCUGACGUGAAAGCCCCCGGCUCAACCGGGGAGGGUCGUCGGGGACUGGCGGGCUUGAGGGCGGCAGGGGUUGGUGGAAUUCCCGGUGUAGUGGUGAAAUGCGUAGAGAUCGGGAGGAACACCCGUGGCGAAGGCGGCCAACUGGGCCGGACCUGACGCUGAGGCGCGAAGGCGUGGGGAGCGAACGGG